rnacentral:rRNA from 1 species
CUUUUGUUGCGAAAAGGGCUUGGAGAAUUGAGCAAGUCCCUAUACUAGGCUGUUUUAUUAAACCUCCCUUUUAUACACUUGCCUAUAUCAUUAUAAUAUACUAAUUUCUAUUCUAAGUAGAUUUCUAUUUUGAGAGUUAUUAAAGUUUUAUAUAUAAAUAUAGAAUUCGCCUGAUAAGCCCGUUCUCUAAGGUGGAAACACUGUAUUAAAACAGCAUACACCAAAACUCAAUGAACUAAAAGAUUUUAUUAAUUGAAGGAAAAGAAACCAACCGGGAUUGCGCUAGUAGUACAGAGCGAAAGCGCAUAAGCUUAAUUAAAUAUUUUUUUGUUUACAGUCGAACUUAAGUGAAAUCCGGACCAGAGAAAGUGAUAGUCUUGUAGAUUGUAAACAAAAAAAAAAAGUGUUAUAAAUUAUUUAUUAUUUAUAAGCAUGUAACUAUUUGUUAUAAUAAUGUGAUGCACCUAUAUUGAAUAUAUAGGGUGUACCUAAUGAAUAGUAUUACUUUAAGGAUUAAAUUAGUGGUUUAACGCUGCUAGUUAUUGACGGAAACCACUCCGUUGGCUAAAUAUUCUAUGUAGAUCGAUAGUGAAUCAGUACUGUAAAGGAAUUUGGAAACAAGAAUGCCAUUGCUUCUCUGAAUACAAGUCCCGAAACAGGUUGCUUAUAAUGACUUUCAGUUUGGCUGUUAUAAUGUUGAAUAGAAAGGUUCCUUUUGAAUCAUGAGCUGAUGACUUUGUGUUAGUUUAAGGCAUAUAUUAAUUGUUCUCUUUGGUGCCCUCGGGCUUAAAAGCAGCCCUUUUGGAAAGGAAAAGCAGAUACAAUUAAUGUGAGUAGCUUAAUUUAUUAAAAGUAAGCUUAUUAUGAAAGUAUUCAUAGAAAACUAACACAAAACGCGAAACGAAGUGAGCUUAAGUAGGCCAGGGGGAAGGUUACCGGAAGGUAGUUGGACGCCCGAAGUGGUAUGCGUUGCAACGCAUUCAUAUGAGUUUAUUUAAGUGGCGAAAUACCAAUCGAACUUCGAAAUAUCUCGUUUUUUGCGAAACCUUUUUAGGAAGGGGGCCUGUCAAAUAUAUGCUAACUAGGUAGAGCGCUGUAAAACUGAUGGGAAGGAAACUUUUACUGAGGUGUUGCAAACCACAAAUUAGGGGCAUUUUAUCAGGUACUCAGUCAGUGCGGGACAAGCUGCAUUUGACAAGAAGGAAACAGCCUAGACUAUGAAUUAAGGCCCGAAAAUAGCGCUAAGUGAGAAAGUAAUUUACUUCACAAAAAUUAGUAGGACGUUUGAUUAGUAGCAUCUACCGUUUCAAGAAAGCGUAAUAGCUCACUACUAUAGUUUAGUUGUUGCGAAAAUUUAGCCGGACUAAGCGCUAUGCCGAAAUUAUAGCUAACUGGAUUGUAUGAUGAUACCAGUUAGAGUAGCAAAACGAACCAUGUUGACAAAGUUAUGUCGGUAAGACUUAAUGAAAAUAUUGGUUGUGAAUAUAUCAGCUAGAGUAACAUAUAAAUUGAGACUUUUAAUAAAUAGAGUUUUCUAUUAAUCUGGGUUUGCUUUGCGCCCUUGUAUUUAUAUAAAACUCUAUUUAUUAAAAGAGUAGUAUCUCAAUGAUCGGAAAUCCUGGGUUUUCUACACAACUAUUAAAGAUGUAGUUAAAAAUACGGUCCCUAAGUAAUAUGGAGGUUACGAUGGGUACCUGCUAUGCCCAAUAAAAUCUUAUUUAUAGAUCUGUUGCAGGAAAAAAUAGCAGGCGAUUUGUACAAAAACAGAUUUUUUUUUUGUGUGUACAAAUAUAGUAAUACCGUACUAAAACUGACUCUGGUGGAUUAGUAGAUUUUACUAAGAUUUGGUUAUAAUCGUUCGUAAGGAACUCGGCAAAUUGCGCUGGUACUUUCGAAAACAGCGGUCUAAAGGUAACCUUUUAGAUCUCAGAUAAGAGAACUGGGUGACAGUUUACUAAAAACUUAGCGUCCUGCCAAUUUGAAACAAGACGUAUAGGAUGUGACGUUUGCUAACGGCCACUAAUUUAAGUAAUCUGUUGUAAAAGAUAGAUAAACAAGAUGUGGUGACGAGCGUCCUGCAUGAAUAACGUAACAACCUGGUUGCUGUCUCGCGAGCGAAAACCGUGAAAUAAGAAUAUCGGUUAAAAUACCGAUUAGGCUAUCUUAGACGAUAAGACCCUGUGAAGCUUUACUGUAACCUAACAUUGCGAUCGGUUUUUUAUCUUACAGUUAGGCGGGAGGCAAUGCCGACAAUGGAAAACCGCUAGAUAAUAAAUUGAUCGCUUUUAUAUAAGAAUACUUUUUUAAUCUAUAAGAUAUUAAUAUAAGGAGCUUCAUAUAAGAAAUUUUAUGCAAAUAGAGUAUACUUUAUGUAAGUAAACCCUCAUAUAAAACACUUUAAUUAACAAAGCUCGAAGACAGUUGUCGGAAACAAUAUGUAGAGCGUAAUAGUAUAAGCAUGCCUGAUUAUAAGACUGACAAGUCAAAUAAGGACGAAAGUCUGCUAUAGUGACCCUCACAUGCUAGGUGGAAAGGUGUGAGAUCAACGAAUCAAAGUUACUCCAGGGAUAACAGGGUAGUCCUGGCUUAUAGUUCUUAUAGACGCCAGGGUUCGCCACCUCGAUGUUGCCUCAGGUCAUCCUAGAGCUGCACAAGGUUCUAAGGGCGCAACUGUUCUUUGCAUAAUGACCUACGUGAGGUGAGUUUAAACCGCCGUAAGGCAGGUUUGGUUCUAUCUAGACAGCCAUAAUAUUUAACCAAGCACUAGAAUUCCACUGUACGAAAGGACCCGGAAUUCCGCGCCAAUGGUUUAGCAAUUGUUUUGAAAAAAGCAUUGUUGCAACGCUAAGCGCGAAAUGUUAAUUGCUGAAAAACUAUCAAGCAAGAAACAAUCGUAAAGGUUAUAGUAGAUCGCAUUUGCGUAAAUAGGCGCGGGGUGUACGCUUUGUAAGAAGCUGAGCUACCGCGUACUAAUUUUUU